rnacentral:rRNA from 1 species
AUUGAACGCUGGCGGCAGGCCUAACACAUGCAAGUCGAGCGGAUGAAGGGAGCUUGCUCCUGGAUUCAGCGGCGGACGGGUGAGUAAUGCCUAGGAAUCUGCCUGGCAGUGGGGGAUAACGUCCGGAAACGGGCGCUAAUACCGCAUACGUCCUGAGGGAGAAAGUGGGGGAUCUUCGGACCUCACGCUAUCAGAUGAGCCUAGGUCGGAUUAGCUAGUUGGUGGGGUAAAGGCCUACCAAGGCGACGAUCGGUAACUGGUCUGAGAGGAUGAUCAGUGACACUGGAACUGAGACACGGUCCAGACUCCUACGGGAGGCAGCAGUGGGGAAUAUUGGACAAUGGGCGAAAGCCUGAUCCAGCCAUGCCGCGUGUGUGAAGAAGGUCUUCGGAUUGUAAAGCACGUUAAGUUGGGAGGAAGGGCAGUAAGUUAAUACCUUGCUGUUUUGACGUUACCAACAGAAUAAGCACCGGCUAACUUCGUG